UACAGAGGGUGCAAGCGUUAAUCGGAAUUACUGGGCGUAAAGCGCGCGCAGGUGGUUUCUUAAGUCUGAUGUGAAAGCCCACGGCUCAACCGUGGAGGGUCAUUGGAAACUGGGAGACUUGAGUGCAGAAGAGGAAAGUGGAAUUCCAUGUGUAGCGGUGAAAUGCGUAGAGAUAUGGAGGAAUACCAGUGGACGAAGGCGACUUUCUGGUCCUUAACUGACGCUGAGGCGCGAAAGCGUGGGG
rnacentral:rRNA from 1 species